rnacentral:rRNA from 1 species
CUUGAUUAGUGGCGCACGGGUGAGUAAUGCAUAGAUAAUGUGCCCCUUAGUUCGGGAUAGCCACUGGAAACGGUGAUUAAUACCGGAUACUCCUUCUCGUUAUAAGACGAGUCGGGAAAGUUUUUCGCUAAGGGAUCAGUCUAUGUUCCAUCAGCUUGUUGGUGAGGUAAUGGCUCACCAAGGCUAUGACGGAUAUCUGGUUUGAGAGGAUGAUCAGACACACUGGAACUGAGACACGGUCCAGACUCCUACGGGAGGCAGCAGUGAGGAAUAUUGCACAAUGGAGGAAACUCUGAUGCAGCAACGCCGCGUGGAGGAUGACGCAUUUCGGUGUGUAAACUCCUUUUAUUAGGGAAGAUAAUGACGGUACCUAAUGAAUAAGCACCGGCUAACUCCGUGCCAGCAGCCGCGGUAAUACGGAGGGUGCAAGCGUUACUCGGAAUCACUGGGCGUAAAGGGUGCGUAGGCUGGCUUUUAAGUCAGAUGUGAAAUCCAAUGGCUCAACCAUUGAACUGCAUUUGAAACUGAAAGCCUAGAGUUCAGAAGGGGCAGAUGGAAUUAGUGGUGUAGGGGUAAAAUCCGUAGAUAUCACUAGGAAUAUCAAAAGCGAAGGCGAUCUGCUGGGAUGAUACUGACG